rnacentral:rRNA from 1 species
AUACGUAGGGGGCGAGCGUUGUCCGGAAUGACUGGGCGUAAAGGGCGUGUAGGCGGCUCUGUAAGUCUGGAGUGAAAGUCCCGCUUUCAAGGUGGGAAUUGCUUUGGAUACUGUGGAGCUUGAGUGCGGAAGAGGUAAGUGGAAUUCCCAGUGUAGCGGUGAAAUGCGUAGAGAUUGGGAGGAACACCAGUGGCGAAGGCGACUUACUGGGCCGUAACUGACGCUGAGGCGCGAAAGCGUGGGGAGCGAACAGGAUUAGAUACCCUGGUAGUCCACGCGGUAAACGAUGAAUGCUAGGUGUUGCGGGUAUCGACCCCUGCAGUGCCGGAGUCAACACAAUAAGCAUUCCGCCUGGGGAGUACGGCCGCAAGGUUGAAACUCAAAGGAAUUGACGGGG